CAGAGAGUGAAAGCUCCCUAAACCCACUGUGAACUUACCUGUCCGUUGCUUCGGCAGGCGGCCCCAGGGCGGGGCUGUAGCCUGUUGCAGGCGUCUGCCGAAGGUACCUAAAAAACUCUGUUAUAAAUGUCGUCCGAGUCCACUAUAAAAACAAAUCA
rnacentral:misc_RNA from 1 species